GCCCCCAGCCCGAGUCCUGCAAGCCCAAGUCAAUUGACCUGGGUUCUGAGGCUCAGUGUAGUUGUAUCCUGAGACUACUUAACCUAUUACUGAACUCUGGGACAGAUUCACUGAAGCAUAAUUGCUCUUAAUGCGAAAUGGUUAUACUUGCAGAGAUGAGAGCAAGUAUAACCCUCCUGGGCUUUUUACUUGAAUAUAUUUUAAGCCUUUACAGUAUUUUUCUUCUGCAUAAGACCAAACAAAACUUUUCCAGUUUUAAAGUAAAAAGAGCCCCCUUGUUUCACUUCCUUAUCCUGUCAGGCUUUCUCUGAGCACAGUACUUUCCGUCCUUGGCUUUUUGAUCUGGCAGAUUCUGUUGGCAUCUCUCAAGCUUACUGUUAGCCAGUCUGUAAGCUUCUUUGGAUUCUCUGGAUUUCAGAAGGCUACUCAUGGUCCAGGAUCACAACUAGGACCCAAGUGGUAGUUGUGUUGUUUCCAUCUUUUGUUUUUUAAAUGGAUUAAAUCUAUCCGGUGACUUACAGUUGUGUUAUAUGUUUGACACAGAUCUCUUCAGUGGAAUCCAGAACUGACAAUGCAGGGUUCAGCAAGUCACUUUGGUGUAUCUGAUAGUUGACUGCAUCUAAGCAGGACAGUUUAAGUGUGCUACUUAGGAUAUUUAAAAACGUUGCUAAAUAAAAUAUUACCAAAACUGUAUAUAUAGAUAGCAUUAUCUAAGUGAAAUUACAUUUAUAUACUAUUGUACUAUCAGCCAGAGCCUGCUGGCAGCAAUGUUCUACGGGACAUCAUUAGCAUACGAUGUGACUCACACCAUCCUGAACUAGGCUGUCUGGAGCUGUUAACUUAUGAAUUAAUGUGAAAUCUGCUGUUUAAUAAAUAGCUUUAUACUGCUUGUUUAGUGAUAUUCAGCAGCAGACUGUAAAGUUUCUCAUUGUGAGAGUCACCUGUAAGAUCAGGUUCCUCCUGAUGUCUUGAAUGAAAAUUUCUAUGUUUAGAAAACACCUGCAACUUGUUAAAGCUACUGCACUCGUUCAUCCAAAAUGUAACCUCAGAACAAUUCCAGCCCCUGUGCUUUCUUAGCCAUGCAAUGUCUUAAUUUUCUUCCUAGUUUUGUUUUCUUUAAUUAGGUUGUGCCCCUACAGCCCAAAGCAUGUAAAAAAUUUAAGUUAACCAGAGUUAAGAAUCUGGGUUCAAAUUCUAUCUAAACAGAGUUCUUAUUAAAUCUGUUUCCAACUGCUUGGCCAGCCAGUGUAGACAAACUGAUAGACAUACAGGCUGGCCACAUUAUGUCCAAUAUUGUUCAGCCAAGCGGUGUUAGAAGAGUGUUCUGUUGGCUCCCUUCUUAUGCACUGUUUCCAAACUCUGUUACUAGCCCCUUUGAGAGAAGCCCAUACUGCAAAGAAAUGUACAGAACAACUUGGUGUCCAGUGCUACAACUGCAGGGACAGAGUUGUGCAUAAUGCAAAGUUGAGGGAAGGUUUUUUCUUUAAGUGAUGCAUAAUUAACCUAUCAAAUGCCUCAAGUACCUUAUUAAAGCUUCAUCCUCCUAAUGCCCAGUGGAUGGGCAUUCUUGAAAAUGGGCCUUUCCUUGUGUUGCCUCUGAUGUGGGACUUGACAGAUGUCUAUUCACUGAGGACACUUCCUGGGCUUUUCAUUGGCAGCCCUUCUUUUUGCUGAGAGGAGAAAUAUUGAAAAUCAUUAGACAAAUACUUGUCAAGUAUGGCCUUGUCAGGUAUAUUUGGCCCCCAGUGCAGCAGGCUGGACUAGAUGACCUCUCGAGAUCCCUUUCAGCCCGGCAUUUCUAUGGUAAAUUAGGAAAUACAUAUGUGCUGCUGGAUCACUUAAUCAACUAAAUAUUGACCUCUUUUGGUGGGGCGGGGAAGGCUUCCUCUACAUAUGAUGAAGUCUCCCAUUGAGUGUGUGGGUCCUGAGAUGACACCAAAGACUGAUUUUGGACAUGCAGCCUCCUCCACAAGUGCCACAGGUAAAGACAAUUGUAAAUGAAUUAGUGCUGCUUUUAGCUUUUUACAUCUUGCACGUCUCUCCUUGAUUGCAGAAAUCUACAAGCUCUCAAAAUCAUCCAGUCUGAGGUGGCAGGGCUGCUGCUGUCAGAUCUUGUCAUGGGCUAAGAGCUCCCAGGUGCUGAGGUCAAUGUUGUAAGAUUGGAGAUGAGAAAAUGCCAAAAAGACUGAGAGAAAGGAGAUGGUGCCUUGUGCAACCAUCACUUCUUAUAUCUACAAUGACUUCCAUCUGAGGCUCUCAAUGCUUUACGCCUGCUACUUAAGUCUGAGACAUUGGGCCCCAACUUUUGGACUUUGGCUCAGCUCAUAAACUGACAAAUAAAAACACGACUUCACCCGUAACACAGCUUCUUCUCAAAGGCUGGUCUGGCCCCACCUAUGCUUGUUCUCAGCAGAUGAAGAGCUGAGGCCCAGAGUGAUGAAGUGACUUGCCCAACGUCGCAUAAUGAGCACCUGAUGGACAAGACUUUCUUCCCAAUCAACACAGACCCUUUGCAUCUGUCCAACAGUUGAAGGACAUAAUUAAUUCCAUCUCUGCACCAAAACCCAUCACUGCUGGAACGAGAGAAUCUGUGGACUACUAAUACAGUUGGAGCUGUGCUAACAACGCUUUCGGUAAAGAGAAGCGAAGAGACCAGGAGUGUCAACGGUCAGAGGCUUUGAACUUCCAGAUGCUACUUCUGCGUGGAGCGAACAUGCAGCCUUCGUUCGACUUACUUGAUUAAGUAGAAUUUACAUUUCUCUGGGGUUUUUAACCAAAAAUAUCAGGUAUGUUCCAUUUCCUGCCUGGUUAGCCUCCCUAUACUUCCUUUUUGGCACUAGCUUUCGAAAGCCACAAGAUAUUUUCCUAAGUGUUCAGUUGCCCCCUAGUGGGCUUCAGGAAAAUAACAUCCUCAUAGUUUAUGGCCACUGUGACCAAUCUGCACUAGGACAUACAAGAGCAAGAAAAAUCUUAGGGGCAUGUUCUAAGGAAAGACUGGAGUAACUCCACUGACUUCAACAGAGUUACUCUGCAUUCAUACUGGGGGAAUCAAGAUCAGAAUCUUGGUCGGUCUUUAGGAGAGGGAACACAGAUGCUUGCCCUCCUCUGUGGCUAUGGCAGAGUUGCUUUCCUCUAAGUGUCUGCCAGGAAAGAGAGCCAAGGGCACUCAAACCUUUCUCUAAUCCCCACUGUGAAACAGCAUUACACUGCUCUAGAAACAUGCUUGUGGAAUUCUGGGCCUUAAUAGCAAUUUUUAGUUUUGUGUCGUGACCAGGGUAUCAUGCUGUGCCUUGCUGAAGUGCAUAUAGAUAGUCUGAUUGCUUUCCCCCCCACACACAUCUGUUUAAAAACAAUUUCUCCCCUAGACUGACUGGCUCCCAACAUCUUUUACCCAUCUAAUGGUAUUUUUAAACAAUCUUCUUCAUACCAGCUGCAGCUCAGGUUCAACGUGGUGUGAUGGCCCUGGCCCACUCAAUUGCCAGUAGAGUUGGGAUUUGAUUUUUAAUACAAAAAUAAUGUAAUUUAACAUGCAGGCUCCUGUCCCCUACUGUUUGUUGCUACUUCAUGAACCUGUGCUAACAGUGAGGGAUGUUGGAAAAAAAAGCUCUGAUCGGUAAUACUACCCUUCCUCUCCAUCAAUGGGCAUGAAUUAUGAUCUGCAACAAAAUUGAUUAUUACCCCCACCUUUAUACCAUGGUACAGGACUCUUAAAUCCAGGAUCACAUGAAAGAGCUCAGUUGUAGCGGUCUGCUCCACCAAGGCACUUCUCCCAUCUUGCGCUACAUGUGCAGGAAUGCUGUCUAGAAAGCAAUGAUGCCUACGUAAUCUGUAACUUUCCUUCAAAAGGGAAGGAGAGUAGCCCCAGUUUGAGUUAGGCUUCAAGUACGUCUAAGACCAGCUGCUGUGAAACCAUCUUCCCAUCAAGUUUGUAACUGGUAACAAGGUUUUCAUACAGUGCCCUUUAAGUGUAUGGAUGGUGGGCAGAUCAGUGUGUAAUUAAUGCAGAAAUACCACCCUCUGCUCUGUAACUUAGCCCCUCCCUCAAAAAGAAUUAUUCCUUGAGGUUAGUAAUUAGGACCAACAGCUUUAGUCCAGAUGGUGCAUUCCUUUUCAAAGGGUGGUUUAAGUGUGUGCAGUUUAAAAAUCUUUACCCUAAAGAGCUGCUGUUUUCAGUAAUAUCCUAAAAUGAAUGAAAUAUAAGGUCUGAUAGAUUUACUUUGGGGAAGAAGUUACUGUCAAGCAAUGGCUCACUGAGGUUGAGAAGCCAGGAAACUGGGCAGUUAACUGUUCCAUCUCUGUGUGGUGAAAAAGCAUAUGGGCAACACUCUUGAGUAGACACUGAAAGUGUGCUGUUUUAAAAAAAAAAAAGAGCCACACAGCCUGCAAGUGCUUUAACUCACCUUGCUUU